UCCACAUAUCCACCAGCAACAGUUUUAUUUUUGUUAUUAUGAUUUUUUUGUAUCACAUUGUAAAAUGUGAGUGUUUUAGCAGGGCAAGACCCUGAUAAAGUGCAUUUGUUUCCUAAUUGGGAGGAUGUGCAAGAAGUUAAUACGAAAAAUACGACAAGGCUCCAAACAGACCCAAUGAUUUGAUCUGUAAACAUAGCAGUUUGCAAAUUAGACCUAGUAUUGCACGUUCACUUGUGGCCAAUGAAAACACAAACAUAAGACAACUUGUAUGAAAGUAAUGCCCAAAUAUUCACACUUCAUGGUACCAAUAAAGUAUGCUUUGUUGCGUUUGCAUAUUUUCACUUAAAAAAUGCCGUCGAACAAACACAGGUUCGUCAGGUUUGUGUGCGUUUGUAAAGAGAUGGACACGGGAGGAGGUAGACUGAAGCACACUGCACCAUAACAUAAGCACGUCUGAGUUGGAUUCUUGUCCAGGGUUAAUGCAAUGUUGCUGCACCACACCGACACUGAGGGUAUCGCAUGAAUAUAAACAAAGAUCUCCACUUUGCUUUUCAUUGCGAGCAAUAUCUGCCGUUGGAAUGGUUUUUGCCUUUGUGGUCACGUGCUGUUACGGUGCCAACACUGGCUUCAGUUACCGAGCGUGGCGUACCAGCGCCUAGACCUUAGAAAGCUGCCACUGCCAAUGUGGUACUAACAGCUUUACCUACAACACUGCCACCCUGACAUGUUUUUUUAUAUAACAACAAAAAAAAAAAUCUACACAGAACACGAAGAAAACUUUUUAGUGCAGCAUGACUGGUUUGCUGAUUUGUCAAUUUUUCAAUCUUUUUAUUUGAUCGAACUGGUUUGGAAAUGUUAUAAUAGCAACCUCCUUUAAAAAAAUAAUUGCUGCAUUCUUCCGAGAUCAAUUGACCUUUCUUGCACACUGGGUGAAAUUUAUUUACAGAGUGGCGCGUGAUUGGAACUCACUAUGUAGCAGUUUUGCGUGUAAGAUUGAGUUAUCGAUUAGCUGACCAGCCAGUUCUGUCAGUGUUUACAGAAAAUAAAAAAAUCCUGACAUCUA